ensembl:lncRNA novel transcript
AUGCAGCUUGUGAGGAAGCCUUUGGUGGUCAUCUUUUAACAGCUCAGUUCCCCAGAGAAGCUCCCUGGAAACCAGGAGGCUGACUUCUUCACCAACUGCAGAACCACCUGAGGCCACGUGGCAGAGCCCUGAGUGCCUUGCCUGGCUGUAAGAGGAAUACUUUCAUCACCAAGCCUAGGAGAGUGCCUUUGUCCAUCGAGGGUCCCCAUUGGGGUUAACUGGAGCCCUUGCAGAUCAAGGCUGCCUCUGCCUUCUGUGUUCCUGUCUGUGGCUGUGCUGUUGUCCCAGUCAUCACCGUAACCAGUGAUCCAGUUCUCACUCCCUCCUCCAGAGCAAGAUAAUAGCCUCAGAUGAAGAAAUUCUGGUUCUGAGCCCGAGAAUCUGAGACAGACUCAGAUCUAAAUCUUUUUAAAGCCUUCAAGGAGAUUAUGAUGCCCACGUGAGCUGGCUCAGAAGAAGAAUUUAUUUCAGGAAUGCCAAGAAUUUCUCAUGCUUGGUGGUAGGACAUUCCUUGAUAAUUUAGCCAGGUGAGAAGUUGUCAAAGAACUGCCAAACCCAUAAGGAUUCUUGUAGCUCACAGCCAGGAGGCUACCUUAUAUUUUGAAUUUAAGAUUAAGGGAAAAAAAAACACAAAAAACAUAUACAAUACAUUCUUGUUGUGGUCGAGCAUAAAGUAAUUAACUAUACAGAGAAAAACAUGAAAGUCUUUUCUGUUACGAAUUCCCUCUGUCCAAGAUUCAGGUCCAGUCCCCUCGGCUUGCUAGGCUCUGCCUGUUCCACAUCUAUGCAUUCCCCAUCUAUCUAAUGUAUAUUCAGACACAAAUGUAUAUACAUGAGAUCAAAUCAUAGAUAUUUUGAAGAUUUGCUUUCAUUCAUGUUUACCUCAGUCAUAACAUUAAAUCUUGGCUGUGUGUAGUGGCUCACGCCUGUAAUCCCAGCUCUUAGGGAGGCAGAGGUGGGAGGAUAGCUUCAGCCCAGGAGUUCAAGACCUGCCUGGGCAGUAUAGCAAGACCCUGAUCUCCACAAAAAGGAAAAAAAAAGUAUAAAAAAUAAAAUAAAAUAAAAAUAAUAAAUAAAUAAAAAUAAAGAAGCAAAAGUUUAUACACUUAAAUUGUGCUUCAUAAUGCAUGUUUUAGUCUUUCAUUUUUCCUAGAAAUUAUUUAUGUACCCAGCAAAUAUCCAUCAAUUAAAUGAGUACAAGGUUUUGAGUUACCUAAAGAUCUUUGAAAUUAUUCUAAAGUGGGCAUACCAUGAAAGAUAACUUUUUUUUAAUUUUGAGAUGGAGUUUCACUCCGUUGCCCAGGCUUGGAGUGCAGUGGCACAAUCUCGGAUCACUGCAACCUCUGCCUCCCAGGUUCAAGCGAUUCUCCUGUCUCAGCCUCCUGAGUAGCUGGGACUACAGGCCCACACGAUCACAUCUGGCAAAUUUGUAAAUUUGUAAAUUUUUAGUAAAGACGGAAUUUCAUUAUAUUGGUCACAGUGAUCUCAAACUCUUGACCUCAGGUGACCCACCUACCUCGCCCUCCCACAGUGCUGGGAUUACAGGUGUGAGCGACCUCGCCCAGCCAAAAGAUAACUUUUGAAAUAAAAUUCAUCAGUGCAAUAAAUCAAUUUUGUUAAACACAGAUUGACGUUUACAUAUUUAAACAUGAUGUAAAAGCAAUGCUAGCUUAUUUUAUCAGUAAAUAUGUAUAAGUUUAAGAAAAAAAUAUACAAGCAGAAUAAAAAUGUAUGCUUGCAUUAUACAAUAAUAUGGGUGUACAUUUCCAGAGUUCUUGUAUUCAUACACUGUAUAAGAAGAUGACAAACAAUUUUGCAAUGAAAAAUCUUGUUCAUA